rnacentral:tRNA from 2 species
GGCGCCGUGGGAGAACGGCGAUCCAGCGGAUUGCAACUCCGUGUAUGCCGGUUCGAGUCCGGCUGGCGCCUCCA